rnacentral:rRNA from 1 species
ACACAUGCAAGUCGAACGGUAACAGGAAGCAGCUUGCUGCUUCGCUGACGAGUGGCGGACGGGUGAGUAAUGUCUGGGAAACUGCCUGAUGGAGGGGGAUAACUACUGGAAACGGUAGCUAAUACCGCAUAACGUCGCAAGACCAAAGAGGGGGACCUUCGGGCCUCUUGCCAUCGGAUGUGCCCAGAUGGGAUUAGCUAGUAGGUGGGGUAACGGCUCACCUAGGCGACGAUCCCUAGCUGGUCUGAGAGGAUGACCAGCCACACUGGAACUGAGACACGGUCCAGACUCCUACGGGAGGCAGCAGUGGGGAAUAUUGCACAAUGGGCGCAAGCCUGAUGCAGCCAUGCCGCGUGUAUGAAGAAGGCCUUCGGGUUGUAAAGUACUUUCAGCGGGGAGGAAGGCGAUAAGGUUAAUAACCUUGUCGAUUGACGUUACCCGCAGAAGAAGCACCGGCUAACUCCGUGCCAGCAGCCGCGGUAAUACGGAGGGUGCAAGCGUUAAUCGGAAUUACUGGGCGUAAAGCGCACGCAGGCGGUCUGUCAAGUCGGAUGUGAAAUCCCCGGGCUCAACCUGGGAACUGCAUUCGAAACUGGCAGGCUAGAGUCUUGUAGAGGGGGGUAGAAUUCCAGGUGUAGCGGUGAAAUGCGUAGAGAUCUGGAGGAAUACCGGUGGCGAAGGCGGCCCCCCUGGACAAAGACUGACGCUCAGGUGCGAAA